UUCUACAAAAUCAGUUUGGUAGUCAUUUUAAUGUAACUAAAAUAUGCAGGCCUAAUAAUUUCCACGAUUUCUUAUGUUUUGCCUCUCGAUAAGCGCAUGCGCACACACAGCAUACCCAUCCCCCACCCCUGGCUGACUUUUCAACGAACUCCUUCAACCGUCACUUUUCUGUCAUGCAUCUGCAAUUGACUGCAAGCUGUACAAACUCUGCCGUCAUCAUAUCCAAGUGGGCUCCAUCAACAGACCAGGGCAAAGUCGGUCUGUCCUGCUACUACUACAUGCUAUUUGACUAUGUCUGGAAGCCAUGGCUGCUGCCCUUAACAUGCUAAACUGAAACCCUCACAAAUAAACUGAUAUCAAUAAUUAACAUUGAUGGUGAUGGUGGCAAGGGUGCCUUCAUAAGAUGCCAUCCAGCAAGUCCCAGCCUGGAGCCAGAGGCUGGCACUGCACGUUGGGGGAGGAUCUAUGUUAGGCAUCAGAAAGGUGGUUUAAGCAAGAAGGAAAGAGCUUCUGCAGACAGUGUUGCAAUUAGACACCUGACUUUUACUGCCAAAGGGACCAUCAGAGCACCUCUCCCUACCAUCUAUACCAGAAGAGUAA